rnacentral:rRNA from 1 species
CGGAAUCUUCGGAUUCAGUGGCGGACGGGUGAGUAACACGUGGGAAUCUACUGAGUAGUGGGGGACAGCCCGGCGAAAGCCGGAUUAAUACCGCAUACGCCCUACGGGGGAAAGGCGCAAGCCGCUAUUUAAUGAGCCCGCGUAAGAUUAGCUAGUUGGUACGGUAAAGGCUUACCAAGGCGACGAUCUUUAGCUGGUCUGAGAGGAUGGCCAGCCACAUCGGGACUGAGACACGGUCCAGACUCCUACGGGAGGCAGCAGUGUGGAAUAUUGGACAAUGGGCGAAAGCCUGAUCCAGCAAUACCGCGUGAGUGAAGAAGGCCUUCGGGUUGUAAAGCUCUUUCAGCAGGAAAAAUAAUGAUGGUACCUGCAGAAGAAGUUCCGGCUAACUCCGUGCCAGCAGCCGCGGUAAUACGGAGGGAACUAGCGUUGUUCGGAUUUACUGGGCGUAAAGGGCGCGUAGGCGGCUUAUUAAGUUAGAAGUGAAAGCCCAGGGCUUAACCCUGGAACUGCUUCUAAAACUGGUAAGCUAGAGUAUGGGAGGGGACAGUGGAAUUCCUAGUGUAGAGGUGAAAUUCUUAGAUAUUAGGAGGAACACCGGUGGCGAAAGCGACUGUCUGGAACAUUACUGACGCUGAGGCGCGAAAGCGUGGGGAGCAAACGGGAUUAGAUACCCUGGUAGUCCACGCUGUAAACGAUGAAUGCUAGAUAUCGGAUUAAUUUUCGGUGUCGUAGUUAACAUGAUAAGCAUUCCGCCUGGGGAGUACGGUCGCAAGAUUAAAACUCAAAGGAAUUGACGGGGGCUCGCACAAGCGGUGGAGUAUGUGGUUUAAUUCGAAGCUACGCGAAAAACCUUACCAGCCUUUGACAUGGUGGUCGCGGGAUCCAGAGACGGAUCCCUUCAGUUCGGCUGGACCACACACAGGUGUUGCACGGCUGUCGUCAGCUCGUGUCGUGAGAUGUUGGGUUAAGUCCCGCAACGAGCGCAACCCUCAUCUUUAGUUACCAUCAGGUUAUGCUGGGUACUCUAAAGAAACUGCCGAUGAUAAAUCGGAGGAAGGUGGGGAUGACGUCAAGUCAUCAUGGCCCUUACAGGCUGGGCUACACACGUACUACAAUGGCGGAUACAAUGAGACGCAAUAGGGUGACCUGGAGCAAAUCUGAUAAAGUCCGUCUCAGUUCGGAUUGCACUCUGCAACUCGAGUGCAUGAAGUUGGAAUCGCUAGUAAUCGCAAAUCAGCAUGUUGCGGUGAAUACGUUCUCGGGCCUUGUACACACUGCCCGUCAAGCCAUGGGAGUUGGUUUUACUCGAAGUAGGUGAGCUAACCGCAA